AUGAAGCUGAGUACAUGCUGUAUUGUUUACCAGGCCGUGCGGUUUAAAGGUGCGAUAUCCCAAUCUGCUGUUCAGGAUGGCACUGGGAAUCGAUCAAGGGCUUUUCUGACAUGGGCUUGGGAUCAGUUCAAAGAGCCACUAGCAACAGGGACCAUGCGACAGUCCAGAGCAUGGAGAAAGUCACGACGCCUGCAGUCUCUGGCGGGACAGACGGGGCAUAAGGACCAGAGAUGCCUUGUGCUGCUGGACUCGGGCUGCUGGAGCCGGACAGUGGACACUGAUGUGGGAAGAAAAGGCAAAAGAAAAAUGAAAUUUCCUUACUACUCCCAGCCCAUUGACAAGUCCUUGAGACAGGCAGAGUGACCUUCAUCUAGGAGCUCAGCUGCCUCCACGUUCACCCUUGGCUAAGGGCAAAAGGCAAUCUUAGCUUAACUUUAUCCCAACCCCCAGGAUCCUGUAAGUCUCCUUUAACAUAUAAAAAUUCCUUAGGAAACUUCCUUUAUCUCUACUCCCAACCUAAGAUACAUGUUGGCAAUCAUCCUCCAAGCACAUGGCCCACCUAUAUACAUCUGAAGGGUCUCAUGACUGAGUUUUUACUAAACAGCAAUAAAUGACCUUUUCCUAACAAUAGCUGGCUCCCUCAAGAUCCUGGAGACCUCACUUCCAAAAUACCUUGGAGGAUUGUGCUCUCCCUAACCCUCUCCCAACUUGAAAAUAUAUAAUCAGUUGCCCGUCAUAACCCCAGUGCAGCACCUUCUGCCCAUGGGUCCUGUCGUGGGCUUUAAUAAAACCAUUUUUUUUGCACCAAAGAUGUCUCUAGAAUUCUUUCUUGGCCAUGGGCUUUGAACCCCAACAUUUUCCUACAUCAGACACCAAAUCAACUCAACUGACCAGACCCCUGCUGCUCCUCCCCCAUGAAGGAUGUUGAAGCUAAGUCAAACAAGCAAUAACACAUAGCUAUAGUUUAGGAUGCUGUAGCAACUGAUCAUCUAGGCCUGCACCCUUUCAGGUAGGAGCAUCCACUGCUACCCCGGCUUAAGUGAACUGACUUUCUGGAGAUGUUCACAUGCUAUGCUCCAAAGUGAUGGCCCCUUAGGGACAAACGUGACAGUACUGUUUCUCAAUACAUGGACUGAAUGAGCUUUAGGGGGUGAUUGUUGCUGUCAAAUCAAUCAACCUAAACUUAAGGGAGUGCAUUAGUUUGUAAGUUAAGUGACUUCCCAUUAGGUGCCAUUUCUUCGAGGAUGGAAAAUAAAUGGACAACAGUGAAAUACUCUCCAUCCAGCUCCACAUUAUGUACCCCACUACAUUACUGGUUUCACAAUGGAGGGUUGUAUUG
rnacentral:lncRNA from 1 species